rnacentral:ncRNA from 1 species
GCGGGGAGCCGGCAACCGAAGCCCCGGUGAACGGUGGUCGUAACUAUAACGGUCCUAAGGUAGCGAAAUUCUUUGUUAGGUAAGUUCCGACCCACACG